rnacentral:rRNA from 1 species
GUCUAUGGCUAUGCUACCCUGAAUAAGCCUGAUACCUGAUCUCGGAAGCUAAGCAGGCUAGGGCCUGGUUAGUACUUAGAUGGGAGACCACCUAGGAAGACCAAGUGCUGUAGGCA